GGGUUGUGAGGUUAAGCGACUAAGCGUACACGGUGGAUGCCCUGGCAGUCAGAGGCGAUGAAGGACGUGCUAAUCUGCGAUAAGCGUCGGUAAGGUGAUAUGAACCGUUAUAACCGGCGAUUUCCGAAUGGGGAAACCCAGUGUGAUUCGUCACACUAUCAUUAACUGAAUCCAUAGGUUAAUGAGGCGAACCGGGGGAACUGAAACAUCUAAGUACCCCGAGGAAAAGAAAUCAACCGAGAUUCCCCCAGUAGCGGCGAGCGAACGGGGAGCAGCCCAGAGCCUGAAUCAGUGUGUGUGUUAGUGGAAGCGUCUGGAAAGGCGCGCGAUACAGGGUGACAGCCCCGUACACAAAAAUGCACAUGCUGUGAGCUCGAUGAGUAGGGCGGGACACGUGGUAUCCUGUCUGAAUAUGGGGGGACCAUCCUCCAAGGCUAAAUACUCCUGACUGACCGAUAGUGAACCAGUACCGUGAGGGAAAGGCGAAAAGAACCCCGGCGAGGGGAGUGAAAAAGAACCUGAAACCGUGUACGUACAAGCAGUGGGAGCACGCUUAGGCGUGUGACUGCGUACCUUUUGUAUAAUGGGUCAGCGACUUAUAUUCUGUAGCAAGGUUAACCGAAUAGGGGAGCCGAAGGGAAACCGAGUCUUAACUGGGCGUUAAGUUGCAGGGUAUAGACCCGAAACCCGGUGAUCUAGCCAUGGGCAGGUUGAAGGUUGGGUAACACUAACUGGAGGACCGAACCGACUAAUGUUGAAAAAUUAGCGGAUGACUUGUGGCUGGGGGUGAAAGGCCAAUCAAACCGGGAGAUAGCUGGUUCUCCCCGAAAGCUAUUUAGGUAGCGCCUCGUGAAUUCAUCUCCGGGGGUAGAGCACUGUUUCGGCAAGGGGGUCAUCCCGACUUACCAACCCGAUGCAAACUGCGAAUACCGGAGAAUGUUAUCACGGGAGACACACGGCGGGUGCUAACGUCCGUCGUGAAGAGGGAAACAACCCAGACCGCCAGCUAAGGUCCCAAAGUCAUGGUUAAGUGGGAAACGAUGUGGGAAGGCCCAGACAGCCAGGAUGUUGGCUUAGAAGCAGCCAUCAUUUAAAGAAAGCGUAAUAGCUCACUGGUCGAGUCGGCCUGCGCGGAAGAUGUAACGGGGCUAAACCAUGCACCGAAGCUGCGGCAGCGACGCUUAUGCGUUGUUGGGUAGGGGAGCGUUCUGUAAGCCUGCGAAGGUGUGCUGUGAGGCAUGCUGGAGGUAUCAGAAGUGCGAAUGCUGACAUAAGUAACGAUAAAGCGGGUGAAAAGCCCGCUCGCCGGAAGACCAAGGGUUCCUGUCCAACGUUAAUCGGGGCAGGGUGAGUCGACCCCUAAGGCGAGGCCGAAAGGCGUAGUCGAUGGGAAACAGGUUAAUAUUCCUGUACUUGGUGUUACUGCGAAGGGGGGACGGAGAAGGCUAUGUUGGCCGGGCGACGGUUGUCCCGGUUUAAGCGUGUAGGCUGGUUUUCCAGGCAAAUCCGGAAAAUCAAGGCUGAGGCGUGAUGACGAGGCACUACGGUGCUGAAGCAACAAAUGCCCUGCUUCCAGGAAAAGCCUCUAAGCAUCAGGUAACAUCAAAUCGUACCCCAAACCGACACAGGUGGUCAGGUAGAGAAUACCAAGGCGCUUGAGAGAACUCGGGUGAAGGAACUAGGCAAAAUGGUGCCGUAACUUCGGGAGAAGGCACGCUGAUAUGUAGGUGAAGUCCCUCGCGGAUGGAGCUGAAAUCAGUCGAAGAUACCAGCUGGCUGCAACUGUUUAUUAAAAACACAGCACUGUGCAAACACGAAAGUGGACGUAUACGGUGUGACGCCUGCCCGGUGCCGGAAGGUUAAUUGAUGGGGUUAGCGCAAGCGAAGCUCUUGAUCGAAGCCCCGGUAAACGGCGGCCGUAACUAUAACGGUCCUAAGGUAGCGAAAUUCCUUGUCGGGUAAGUUCCGACCUGCACGAAUGGCGUAAUGAUGGCCAGGCUGUCUCCACCCGAGACUCAGUGAAAUUGAACUCGCUGUGAAGAUGCAGUGUACCCGCGGCAAGACGGAAAGACCCCGUGAACCUUUACUAUAGCUUGACACUGAACAUUGAGCCUUGAUGUGUAGGAUAGGUGGGAGGCUUUGAAGUGUGGACGCCAGUCUGCAUGGAGCCGACCUUGAAAUACCACCCUUUAAUGUUUGAUGUUCUAACGUUGACCCGUAAUCCGGGUUGCGGACAGUGUCUGGUGGGUAGUUUGACUGGGGCGGUCUCCUCCUAAAGAGUAACGGAGGAGCACGAAGGUUGGCUAAUCCUGGUCGGACAUCAGGAGGUUAGUGCAAUGGCAUAAGCCAGCUUGACUGCGAGCGUGACGGCGCGAGCAGGUGCGAAAGCAGGUCAUAGUGAUCCGGUGGUUCUGAAUGGAAGGGCCAUCGCUCAACGGAUAAAAGGUACUCCGGGGAUAACAGGCUGAUACCGCCCAAGAGUUCAUAUCGACGGCGGUGUUUGGCACCUCGAUGUCGGCUCAUCACAUCCUGGGGCUGAAGUAGGUCCCAAGGGUAUGGCUGUUCGCCAUUUAAAGUGGUACGCGAGCUGGGUUUAGAACGUCGUGAGACAGUUCGGUCCCUAUCUGCCGUGGGCGCUGGAGAACUGAGGGGGGCUGCUCCUAGUACGAGAGGACCGGAGUGGACGCAUCACUGGUGUUCGGGUUGUCAUGCCAAUGGCACUGCCCGGUAGCUAAAUGCGGAAGAGAUAAGUGCUGAAAGCAUCUAAGCACGAAACUUGCCCCGAGAUGAGUUCUCCCUGACUCCUUGAGAGUCCUGAAGGAACGUUGAAGACGACGACGUUGAUAGGCCGGAUGUGUAAGCGCAGCGAUGCGUUGAGCUAACCGGUACUAAUGAACCGUGAGGCUUAACCUUACAACGCCGAAGCUGUU
rnacentral:rRNA from 1 species